UUGCCUUAAUGUCGCCCACUGUAUCGUGGUUUGUGUGCUGUUCAGCGUAUAGCAACAGCGAGAUAGAGAGAGACAAGAGGAGAAAAAAAGCAACCAGAAGAUAUCAUUCACAUUGGUGGAAAGGCCCGCACGCCUACGAGAUGCUUGGCGGUCGCAUGAUUGGAACGAGCGUGGCGUGGCGGCAACUGCGUCGUACGAUACAGGAACGGAUGAGGGUAGCACGGGCAUUCGCUUUACAUCGUUCCGUCCGUCCCAAAGCCGGGCUCUUUUCGAUGCACUCUCAUCGCUCAUCGCACGCUGUGACGCACCAUCACCACAUCCGAGCAUCACAAUUGUCCCUCAUCGGAUGCGGAUUAACGUUAAUUUAAUGCUUGCGUUCUUUCACUCGCGCGGUCUGUAACACAAACACAGGGUGCCUUUUCACUGGGAGUUGCUUUUUUUGCAACCGUUUUUGCCGUCACCCGCCUCCUGUAGACCUAGGUCACAGAGAAUGUGGCCCGGCUGUCGCAGAAAGCGAAAGUCAUUGGCACCGUUAGGCAAUAUGUUUGCGGAAUGUGAUGCUGAAUGCAUCGACAUGUUACAACCGUUUGAUCGACGCAGCAUGCAGCAAGUAAUCUGAUCAUAGAAGAAAAUUUCAUCUGUUUUCAAUGCAGGCUAAUAAAAAUUAACAUAAGAUCAUGUAA